AGUGAACGCUGGCGGUAGGCCUAACACAUGCAAGUCGAACGGCAGCACAGUAAGAGCUUGCUCUUACGGGUGGCGAGUGGCGGACGGGUGAGGAAUACAUCGGAAUCUACUUUUUCGGGGGGGAUAACGUAGGGAAACUUACGCUAAUACCGCAUACGACCUACGGGUGAAAGCAGGGGAUCUUCGGACCUUGCGCGAUUGUAUGAGCCGAUGUCGGAUUAGCUAGUUGGCGGGGUAAAGGCCCACCAAGGCGACGAUCCGUAGCUGGUCUGAGAGGAUGAUCAGCCACACUGGAACUGAGACACGGUCCAGACUCCUACGGGAGGCAGCAGUGGGGAAUAUUGGACAAUGGGCGCAAGCCUGAUCCAGCCAUACCGCGUGGGUGAAGAAGGCCUUCGGGUUGUAAAGCCCUUUUGUUGGGAAAGAAAAGCAGCAGGUUAAUACCCCGCUGUUCUGACGGUACCCAAAGAAUAAGCACCGGCUAACUUCGUG
rnacentral:rRNA from 1 species